GCCAGCGCCCGGACCGCACAGCUUCGAUCGUGCGCGAGAAAAACAGCCGGACUCCACGAGUCCCCGCGCACCGCGCCGUGCGCGCGACUCGGCGGAGUGGAGUCCCCUCUUAACCCCAGAUCCAAGUCGUCUCCCUCCUGCACGGCUCUUCCUCUCCUGGGUUUUGCACGCCCUUCUGCCUGGUCUCUCUUACAUUCUGGGUCCCUGAACCAUCGCCAGCCACACGGAGGGAGGCACGGAGGCACACCAGGAGACGGGGGUGCCCUCCGCGUAGGCUCUGCAGACACCACCAGGAGGCCAGGGGACUGUGUGCAUUCAUGGGUUUGGUCCUAGAACCCCAGUCCAAACACACUUCUGAAUACCCACCUCCCUUCUGCCUACUCUGGAAAGAAAGCUGGGAGAAACCCCAUCAGUCAGAGUGUACACUUGGAAGAACACGUUUGCAAGACCCAAAGGGCCUUACAGUUUGCAGAGAGAACACCUGUCCAGCCUGGGCCAAACUACAUGUGUGUAAUUAAUGACCUAUAAGGCCAUAACAUAGCUGGGUUCACCUUUGAGAGCAGCCAAGUUGGAGAGAAGGGGCUGUCUCGCUGAGCUUCUCAGGAUGGCUUCGUGUGGAUGUGCAGGCUGCACGGCGGGGAUGUUUGCGGCUGGUGACCCAGACAAGCGCAGCACUGAACACGUAGGAGGCAUCCAGACCAUUUGAUGAAUGACUACUAUUAAAUACAUGUCUGAUGGUGAGAGGCUUUUGAGACUCUACUUAGAUACAUCUAGUACCCCUCCUCUCCUCUGUUCCUCCAUCCCUCAGACUCAGCUUCAACUAACUGAGAACCUGCCAUGGUGAAUCCUCAGCCAACCCUCAUCGCACCACUGGACAAAGACUUUGUUCUCCAAGUUUGUGUGUGAAUGUGAGCUCAGAGUUGCCGGUGUGGCUCACCAGGGUCACAGAGCAAGAAGCAUGUCAGAAUUUGAAUCCCGGGUAAAGCACUCAAGGACUGUGUCCUUUCUAUUCAAGCUCAGAGAGCAACCAAAAUGGACAUCUACUCUGGUCUCCUGGGGAAUUUACCUCCCGGGAAUACCACAGUUACUGAAAAUAUCAAAGAACUGUCCCAAGCAAAGAUAUCAUGGAAACUCCUAGUAAGUCACACUCUGCUUCCUUUGCUGAGGAUUUUUAAUUUUUAAAGGAAUGUGAUGGAUCGCUGUAAAGGGGCGUCCUGAUUUUCAUGUUGUAUUCCUAUAAUAAGUACAAUAGCACUUUGAUAUAGUGUUUUUUUUGUGUGUGUGCUAGUACACAA